GCUUGUCGAGGCUGCCCAGUGUGUUUCGUCGCAGCUGCAGGUCGCGAGAUCAGUUCGGGCAGGCGCCGCACAUUGACGAGUGAUCCAAUAUUUUGAUCGGACCAUAACAACUAACGUGUCUCAUUCUCUGGCAUCUAGAAGUAGUGGUAAAAUUCUGAAUUUGCAUGGCAAGCACCACUUACGUAGGUAGCUGCCACGCACAGUUUAUACUCUUAUGCCUAUAAAGGAUAGGAAUUAUUCAUGAGUUAUGGCUACAAUGAGGAACUAUGUAUAGUUUAUACUCUUACGCCUAUAAAGGAUGGGAAUUAUGCAUGAGUUAUGGCUAUAAUGAGGAACUGUGUGAUAGUAGAUACGACAACUGUGUGAUAGAAUGAAAUUGGUUGAUUUUAUUUUUUUUAAUUUCUAAUAAGUUAGUAGUAGCAUGGGAAAAAAUUGUGCCCUACUAGUAUUUAGUAUACUAGUAGCGUUGGUACUCAAGAAACGCUACUACUAUUAUGUUAGUAGUAGCGUGGGUCCGUAAUAGCAGUAGCGCGGGUGGCAUAAUAGCAGUAGCGAGCUUCCACUAAGCGCGCUGCUGCUACACUUGUGUAGCAGUAGCGCUGGUGAGCACGCGCUACUGCUACAUGUUAGCUGUAGCGCCUUAUUAGUAGCGUCGGUCCCCGCGCUACUGAUACACCUAAAACCCGCGCUGCUGCUAGCCUUUUCCCUAGUAGUGAGUUUCCGUCAUACCGGUGUUAUGUUCCUUGAUUUUGCGUUCCUUACACGGUUGGGUCAUAAUGGGAACCCCUUGACAGUCCGCCUUGAAUAAAACUCUUCCAGCAAUGCCUAACUUUGGUUUUACCAUUCGCCACCUAGCCUUUUCCCUUGGGUUUCGCGGACUCAAGGGUCAUCUUUAUUUUAAACCCCCUCGGGCCUGUGCUUCUCUAAGUGUUGGUCCAACCGAGCGAUGUCCGGGGCUACCAGGGGCAACUCUAGGCUGGCCUACCUGACGUCUUGCUCAUCCGGUGUGCCCUGAGAACGAGAUAUGUGCAGCUCCUAUCCGGAUUUGUCGGCACAUCUGGGUGGUGUUGCUGGUUUAGUUUUACCAUUGUCAAGAUGUCUUGUAACCGCGAUUCCGAGUCUGAUCGGAUUGUCUUGGGAGAAGGAAUAUCCUUUGUUGGCCGUGAGAGCUUGUGAUGGGCUAAGUUGGGACACCCUGCAGGGAUUUGAUCUUUCGAAAGCCGUGCCCAUGGUUAUGGGCAUAUGGGAAUUUGUUAAUGUCCGAUUGUAGAAGACUUGAACUUAACUUAAUUAAAAUGAAUCAACAGAGUGUGUGGCCGUGAUGGUCUCUUUUCGGUGGAGUCCGGGAAGAGAACAUGGUCUCGUGUUAUGCUUGAUCGUAGGUUGUUCUAGGAUCACUUCUUGAUCAUAGUUCUUCGACCGUGCCUUUGCCUUCUCUUCUCGCUCUCUUUUGCGUAUGUUAGCCACCAUAUAUGCUAUUCGCUUGCUGUAGCUCCACCUCAUACUUUUACCCUUCCUAUAAGCUUAAAUAGUCUUGAUCGCGAGGGUGUGAGAUUGUUGAGUCCUCGUGACUCACAGAUUACUUCCAAAACCAGAUGCAGGGACCGAUGAUGCCAUUCCAGGAGAUUCAGCUGAGCUUAAGUGGGAGUUCGAUGAGGACUCUGGACGUUACUACGAAUCUUUCCCAGAUGAUCAGUAGUGAUGCCCAGUUGGGGCGAUCGGGGACUAUGUUGCAUUUGGGGUUUAUCUUUAUUUUGGUUCCGUAGUCGGACCUUGAGUGUAGCUGGAUGAAUGCAAUGUUAUUUAUACUAUUUGUGUGACGUGGCGAGUGUAAGCCAACUAUGUAUCCUUUUCCCUUAAUGUAUUACAUGGGUUGUUGUGAAGAUUACCUCACUUGCGACAUUGCUUUCAAUGCGGUUAUGCCUCUAAGUCAUGCUUCGACACGUGGGAGAUAUAGCCGCAUCGAGGGCGUUACAGCUACCCUGCCAUGGCACUCAUCAAUAGGGCAACACACAAAGGCUCUCACGCACCCCUCGACCAAUCCUACCGCGUAAUUAACCUCCUUACUUCUAUUUAGUCAUACGUUUAACUUUAUUUUGCUAUAUCUAAUGCAAUAAUGGACCUUACAUUAUGUUUACAAAUUUAGACAUGUCAUAGUAUCUACAAGGAAACCACAUACAUCACAUUUUCAGAGGUCUAUCUUUUCCCCAUUUCACUAGUGCGGGAAACACUAGCGGGGACAUGCCAAAAACCACCUCGAUAGUGUGGUGCCUCCACAACACCAAUAUGGCCCCACUGAUAAACUAUACAGAUGGUGUGUGCGGGAAUCACACCGCUAGUAACAGAUAUACUAGUGGCGCACCAAAUGUCAAAACACCACCAAUAUAGUUUCUGAACUAGUGAUGUUACGAUAUUAGGCACACUACCAAUGUUUUUAAGAGGAAACAAAUAUGGCACCAUGGCAGUGCAUCCUACAUAGCAGCGACACAUAUCUUCUAUAUCUAAAUAGGGGCACCCCACUAGAUGAUUUUCCAGCCUUCUCAUGAGGCCACGUCACUCGAAUUGUUAUAGCCGUUGAUGCGGUAUAGCUCAGGAGUCUGCAACCGUCUGAUCAAAGUUCACGAAAUUACAAAGAUCUGCCACCGCUUAGUUUUUUUUAGACAAUCUGCCACCGCUUAGUGGAACAUACCGAUUCAUUCUUUCCAGCCGCCCUGCUCGCUACCUGCGUCCAUCUCAAUCAAUGUGGGAGGAGCCGCUUCGGGGCUGUGCUACAUUUUCCCUACCUGUGUGGCCCAGUGGCCUAAUUAUUGGCCCAUCUACCGUAUAUGCUAGAAAAGCCCACGUUACUACCAUUGUUUUUGCAAAGAAAAAUGUGAGUUGUUGGUCUGGCGCCGCAUGCUGUCGUCUCCCCCGUUCCUACUGAGUCGAUUGUUUUUUCACGGCUCUCUUCAUAUUCUACACCAGGUCCUCUUCAUCUUCUCCACUAAAGCAAACACAUUAAUAACGGAUGGAGUUAUUAAUCUCCCUUUUAAGGAACAGAUCUGCUUCAUUCCCAUAGUCUUCCCCAUAACCAGUGUCAUCGAUCUAGGUUUUUCCCUCGAAAAAAUAGUUUGUUGUACACCUGGACCGACGAAUUUGGAGCGGCAACCGACGCCCAUCGAAGCAUCCCCAUGCCAUUAUCACCACAGUUUUGGGCAGGGUGAUCGAAGCUUCAACACUGGUAAAGCGCUUCAUGACGAUGUGCCUCCAUGUUGUUUUGUGCGCGCUCCGUGGAGGGAGUUGUGGUAUCGACUAUGGAUGAUGUCCGCUGGAUUAAGAACAAGUUCCCCUACUUUCUUUUCUUCGAUAGUGUCGAGGACCUCGACGGUGUGCAGGUAAUGAAAUCUCACAAAUUAGCCUCGGCGUGCAUAGGACUCUUGCUGUUCCUAUUAGUAGAUACAGAUCUCAUCUUUGAAAUUUAUUUGAGUUGGAUAAACACAUGACAUGCGGCCUAAUACGAUUCCCUCCAUUCUAUGCUGCAUUGGUUCGAACAAAUCAUGUACAACAAAGCAUCGCACCUUAUUAUCCCUUCUAUUUAAGUUAUAAUGGUUACUCAAUUAAAAAUCUUGGGCUUUGGCAGAUACAUGAGACAACUAUUUUGUCUUUCUUUUUGUUCAGUCUAGAGAGGACCUACUGGCAUUAUGGGCAUAUAGUGAAAUGGUGACAGCGCCAUGAUCCCUCCGCUUCUGCAUAGUCAUUGCAUAUCGAUCCUUCCAAAUGAGGCACCUUGCCUGAUUUAGAGCAACUGCAGCCUAUGCGCGCUCUUGAGGACAUCCUUUUGCGCACUGUUACAUGUCCAAGCUUGCAGGCAAUUUCGUUAUCACAUUGUUAAGCAGAUUAUGAUAAUGCCAUUCAGGCGAUUAUUGCUAAGCAGAUGCACACUACUUAUUAUUCCUUGAUUCUUUGAGUUUUGGUGGGGCUAGACACCCCGAGUUGGAAUGAUCUAAAAACCAUGUCAUUUUUGUCAAAAUUUUCCUCCUUCCGAGAUUUAAUCCAGUAAUAUCUUCAGUGCUUCACUUUUGUCAUACAUAAGUACAACUAGCUUCAGGGAUUUAGAGAUCAUUCAAUUGUUCAUAUGCAUGUCUGAUAGUUAGUGUUGUGAUUUGGUCAUUGGUUGUGGAGUUAAUUCUUGCAUACGCAUUGUGUUAUUCAGCAACAUUGUUUUGAACAUGUUAUGAACCAUCACUUAAUCAUUGACAUCUUGCUAGACUACCGAGCCCGUCAAGUCUAUAUUAUAUCUUAUCUUUUUGCUAAUUAAUUAUAUAACAAAAUGGUUAUCCCAAAUUGUUCCGCAGCAACGUGCGAGGCAUAUUCUAGUCAAGAUAAAACUUACCAACAAUCAUCAUCCUCAAGAUGGGGGGCAUGGUGUUCCUGAUAGCGGGUAGCAUGAUCCGUCGAACCUGAAGAUUCUUCUGAGUGAAGAACCCCUUUCACCCCUCCUUGCGGAAGACAACGUGAUCGUUUGUGUCCGCAGUGCGUACGAUGUCCCUUGUUCCAAUGUGUAGUCCAGUAAGGUCUGCUUCAUCACCCACUAUGCCAUUGCUCAAAGCAACCUUCUUAGGAAAUUUCUGAAAAACCAAAAGAGCAACAAUGUCAAACCACCUCAUGUGAUGGACAGAAAAAGAAAAGUAGAUAAAUGAAUUUAAAUAACAUGCCAUCACAUGUUUGGUAAGAUUGGUCCUUAUGAAACGGGUCACAAAUGAUAUCUUGAAGUAGUCCUCACGUGGCGAUAGGAUGUCCACGAGGUUGCCAAUAUCAUCUUUGCCGAGCUUCAUUCUUUGGGCAAAGACAGUAUCAUCAAAUGGGUCAUCAUCGCCAUCAUAACACAGAGAAUAGACAUCCUGGGCAUUCUGAAGGAAAUAUGCCCUAGAGGCAAUAAUAAAGUUGUUAUUUAUAUUUCCUUAUAUCAUGAUAAAUGUUUAUUAUUCAUGCUAGAAUUGUAUUAACCGGAAACUUAGUACAUGCGUGAAUACUGAUACGUCUCCAAUGUAUCUAUAAUUUUUGAUUGUUUCAUGCUAUUAUAUUAUCUGUUUUGGAUAUUUAUGGGCUUUAUUAUACACUUUUAUAUUAUUUUUGGGACUAACCUAUUAACCUAGAGCCUAGUGCCAGUUUCUGUUUUUCCUUGUUUUAGAAUAUCGCAGAAAAGGAAAAUCAAACGGAGUCCAAUUGACCUGAAACUUCACAGAACUUAUUUUUGGACCAGAAGAAGCCCACGGAGUACCAGAGUUGCACGAGGAGAUUCCCGGGCUGCCCACGAGGGUGAAGGGCGCGCCCACCCCCCUGGGCGCGCCCCCCUACCUCGUGGGCAGCACGGAAGUCCACCGACGUACUUCUUGUAGGGGAACGCAGCAGAAAUUCAAAAUUUUCCUACGUGUCACCAAGAUCUAUCUAUGGAGAAACCAGCAACGAGGGGAAGGAGAGUGCAUCUACAUACCCUUGUAGAUCUCUAUGUGGAAGCGUUCAAGAGAAUGGGUUGAAGGAGUCGUACUCGUCGUGAUCCAAAUCACUGGAGAUCCUAGUGCCAAACGGACGGCACCUCCGCGUUCAACACACGUACAGCCCGGUGACGUCUCCCAUGCCUUGAUCCAGCAAGGAGAGAGGGAGAGGUUGAGGAAGACUCCAUCCAGCAGCAGCACAACAGCGUGGUGGUGGUGGAGGAGCGUGGUACUCCAGCAGGGCUUCGCCAAGCAUCGCAAAAGACGAGGAGGAAGAGGGGUAGGGCUGCACCAACAGGAGAAGAAUUCAUGUGUGAUGGGAAGCCCAAACCUCAAGUAUAUAUAGAGGAAGGGAAGGGGAUGUGCCCCACCUAGGGUUUCCACCCCUAGGGGUGGCGGCCAGCCUAGAUCCCAUCUAAGGGGGCGGCCAAGGGGGGAGGGGGGCCGCACCACUAGGUGGGCCUUAGGCCCAUCCGAGCCUAGGGUUUGCCCCCUUCCACUCUCCCUUGCACCUUGGGCCUUGGUGGGGGGGCGCACCAGCCCACCUGGGGCUGGUCCCCUCCCACACUUGGCCCAUGCACCCUCCGGGGCUGGUGGCCCCACUUGGUGGACCCCCGGGACCCUCCCGGUGGUCCCGGUACAUUACCGAUAAACCCCAAAACUUUUCCGGCGACCAAAACUGGACUUCCCAUAUAUAAAUCUUUACCUCCUGACCAUUCCGAAACUCCUCGUGACGUCCGGGAUCUCAUCCGGGACUCCGAACAACAUUCGGUAACCACGUAUAUCUAUUCCUUAUAACUCUAGUGUCAUCGAACCUUAAGUGUGUAGACCCUACGGGUUCGGGAACCAUGCAGACAUGACCGGGACGUUCUCCGGUCAAUAACCAACAGUGGGAUCUGGAUACCCAUGUUGGUUCCCACAUGUUACACGAUGAUCUCAUCGGAUGAACCACGAUGUCGAGGAUUCGAUCAAUCCCGUAUUCAAUUCCCUUUGUCUAGCGGUAUUGUACUUGCCCGAGAUUCGAUCGUCAGUAUCCCGAUACCUUGUUCAAUCUCGUUACUGGCAAGUCUCUUUACUCGUUCCGUAACACAUCAUCCCGUGAUCAACUCCUUGGUCACUUUGUACACAUUAUGAUGAUGCCCUACCGAGUGGGCCCAGAGAUACCUCUCUGUUUACAUGGAGUGACAAAUCCCAGUCUCGAUUCGUGCCAACCCAACAGACACUUUCGGAGAUACCUGUAGUGUACCUUUAUAGCCACCCAGUUACGUUGUGAUGUUUGGCACACCCAAAGUAUUCCUACGGUAUCCGGGAGUUACACAAUCUCAUGGUCUAAGGAAAUGAUACUUGACAUUAGAAAAGCUUUAGCAUACAAACUACACGAUCUUUGUGCUAGGCUUAGGAUUGGGUCUUGUCCAUCACAUCAUUCUCCUAAUGAUGUGAUCCCGUUAUCAACGACAUCCAAUGUCCAUGGUCAAGAAACCGUAACCAUCUAUUGAUCAACGAGCUAGUCAACUAGAGGCUUACUAGGGACAUGGUGUUGUCUAUGUAUCCACACAUGUAUAUGAGUUUCCUAUCAAUACAAUUAUAGCUUGGAUAAUAAACGAUUAUCAUGAACAAGGAAAUAUAAUAAUAACCAAUUUAUUAUUGCCUCUAGGGCAUAUUUCCAACAGUCUCCCACUUGCACUAGAGUCAGUAAUCUAGUUCACAUCACCAUGUGAUUAACACUCACAGGUCACAUCGCCAUGUGACCAACAUCCAAAGAGUUUACUAGUGUCACUAAAUUAGUUCACAUCAUCAUGUGAUUAAGACUCAAUGAGUUCUGGGUUUGAUCAUGUUUUGCUUGUGAGAGAGGUUUUAGUCAACGGGUCUGCAACAUUCAUAUCCGUAUGUACUUCGCAAAUCUCUAGGUCAUAUUAUAAAUGCUGCUUUCACGCUCCACUUGGAGCUAUUCCAAAUGGUUGCUCCACUAUACGUAUCCGGUUUGCUACUCAGAGUCAUUCGGAUAGGUGUUAAAGCUUGCAUCGAUGUAACCCUUUACGCCGAACUCUUUAUCACCUCCAUAAUUGAGAAACAUGUCCUUAUUACUCCAAGGACAACUUUGACCACUAUCUAGUGAUCCACUCCUGGAUCACCUUUGUACCCUCUUGCCAGACAUGUGGCAAGGCACACAUCAGGUGCGGUACUCAGCAUGGCAUACCGUAUAGAGCCUAUGACAAAAGCAUAGGGGACGACAUUCGUCCUUUCUCUUUCUUCUGCCGUGGUCGAGCUUUAAGUCUUAACUUCAUACCUUACAACUCAGGCAAGAACUCCUUCUUUGACUGAUCCAUCCUGAACACCUUCAAGAUCAUGUCAAGGUAUGUGCUCAUUUGAAAGUACCAUUAAGCGUUUUGAUCUAUCCUUAUAGAUCUUGAUGCUCAAUGUUCAAGUAGCUUAAUCCAGGCUUUCCAUUGAAAAACACUUUCAAAUAACCCUAUAUGCUUUCCAGAAAUCCUACGUCAUUUCUCAUCAACAAUAUGUCAACAACAUAUAUUCAUCAGAAAUUCUAUAGUGCUCCCACUCACUUCUUUGGAAAUACAAGUUUCUCAUAAACUUUGUAUACACCCAAAAUCUUUGAUCAUCUCAUCAAAGCAUACAUUCCAACUCCGAGAUGCUUACUCCAGUCCUUAGAAGGAUUGCUGGAGCUUUGCAUACUUAUUAGCAUCUUUCAGGAUUGACUAAACCUUCUGGUUGUAUCACAUACAACCUUUCCUCAAGAAAAUCGUCGAGGAAACAAUGUUUUGACAUCCUAUCUGCAAGAUUUCAUAAAUAAUGCAGUAAUCGCUAAUAUAAUUCCAACAGACUCUUAGCAUCGCUACGAGUGAGAAAGUCUGAUCAUAGUCAACUCCUUGAACUUGUCGGAAAAAAUCUUAAUGACAAGUCGAGCUUUCUUAAUGGUGAUACUUACCAUCAUUGUCCGUCUUCCUUUUAAAAUCCAUCUGUACUCAACAGCCUUACGACCAUCGAGCCGUUCUGCCAAAGUCUACACUUUGUUUUCAUACAUGGAUCCUCUCUCGGAUUUUAUGGCCUCGAGCCAUUUAUCGGAAUCCGGGCCCACCAUCGCUUCUCCAUAGCUCGUAGGUUCAUUGUUGUCUAGCAACAUGACUUCCAAGACAGGAUUACGUACCACUCUGAAGUAGUACGCAUCCUUGUCAUCCUACAAGGUUUGGGAGUGACUUGAUCCGAAGUCUCAUGAACAAUAUCAUAAGCUUCCACUUCAAUUGGUGUAGGUGCCACGGGAAUAACUCUUUGUGCCCUCCUAUACACUAGUUGAAGUGACGGUUCAAUAACCUCAUCAAGUCUCCACCAUUCUCCCACUCAAUUCCUUCGAGAGAAACUUUUCCUCGAGAAAGGACCCGAUUCUAGAAACAAUCCCUUAUUGCUUUCGGAUCUGAGACAGGAGGUAUACCCAACUGUUUUGGGUGUCCUAUGAAGAUGCAUUUAUCCGCUUUGGGUUCGAGCUUAUCAGCCUGAAACUUUUUCACAUAAGCGUCGCAGCCCCAAACUUUUAAGAAAUGACAGCUUAGGUUUCUCUAAACCAUAGUUCAUACGGUGUCAUCUCAUCGGAAUUACGUGGUGCCCUAUUUAAAGUAAAUGUGGUUGUCUCUAAUGCCUAACCCAUAAACUAUCGUGGUAAUUCGAUAAGAGACAUCAUGGUAUGCAUCACAUCCAAUAGGGUGCAGUUAUGAUGUUCGGACACACCAUCACACUAUGGUGUUCCAGGCUGUAUUAGUUGUGAAACAAUUUCCACAAUUUCUUAAUUCUGUGCCAAACUCGUAAUUCAGAUAUUCAUCUCUAUGAUCAUAUCAUAGAUCUUUUGUCCUCUUGUCAUGACGAUCUUUCAACUUCACCCUGAAAUUACUUGAACCUUUCAAUAAUUCAGACUCAUGAUUCAUCAAGUAAAUAUACUCAACAUCUACUCAAAUCAUCUGUGAAGUAAGAACAUAACGAUAUCCACUACAUGCCUCAGCACUCAUUGGACUGCACACAUCAAAAUGUAUUACUUCCAACAAGUUGCUUUCUAGUUCCAUUUUACUAAAAAUGAGGCUUUCAGUCAUCUUGCCCAUGUGGUAUGAUUUGCAUGUCUCAAGUGAUUCAAAAAUCAAGUGAGUCCAAACGGUCCAAUUGCAUGGAGUUUCUUCAUGCAUAUACACCAAUAGACAUGGUUUGCAUGUCUCAAACUUUUCAAAAACGAGUGAGCCCAAAGAUCCAUCAACAUGGAGCUUCUUCAUGCGUUUUAUACCGAUAUGACUUAAGUGGCAGUGCCACAAGUAGGUGGUACUAUCAUUACUAUCUUAUAUCUUUUGGCAUGAACAUGUGUAUUACUACGAUCGGGAUUCAAUAAACCAUUCAUUUUAGGUGCAAGACCAUUGAAGGUAUUAUUCAAAUAAACAGAGUAACCAUUAUUCUCCUUAAAUGAAUAACCGUAUUGCGAUAGACAUAAUCCAAUCAUGUCUAUGCUCAACGCAAACACCAAUCUUGAUGCUAGAGGGAGCGUAUGAUAUUUGAUCAACCUUGGAAAUACUUCCAACACAUAUCGUCAUCUCACCUUUUAGCUAGUCUCCAUUUAUUCCGUAGCUUUUGUUUUGAGUUACUAACACUUAGUAACCGAACUGGUAUCUAAUACCCUGGUGCUACUAGGAGUACUAGUAAAGUACACAUUAACAUAAUGUAUAUCCAAUAUACUUCUAUCGACAGCCUUCUCAUCUACCAAGUAUCUAGGGUAAUUCUGCUCCAGUGGUUGUUCCCCUUAUUACAGAAGCACUUAGUCUCGGGUUUGGGUUCAACCUUGGGUUUCUUCACUAGAGCAGCAGCUGAUUUGCCGCUUCAUGAAGCAUCCCUUUUUUCCCUUGCCCUUCUUGAAACUAGUGGUUUCACCAACCAUCAACAAUUGAUGCUCCUUCUUGAUUUCUACUUUUGUGGUGUCAAACAUCGCGAAUAUCUCAAGGAUCAUCAUAUAUGUCCCUGAUACAUUAUAGUUCAUCACGAAGCUCUAGCAGCUUGGUGGUAAUGACUUCGGAGAAACAUCCAUAUCUCAUUUGGAAGAUCAACUCCCACUCGAUUCAAAUGAUUGUUGUACUCAGACAAUCUGAGCACAAGCUCAACAAUUGAGCUUUUCUCCUUAGUUUGUAGGCUAAGAAAAUCGUCGGAGGUCUCAUACUUCCUGACGUGGGCACGAGCCUGAAAUCCCAAUUUCAGCCCUCGAAACAUCUCAUAUGUUCCGCGACGUCUCGAAAACGUCUUUGGUGCCUCAACUCUAAACCGUUUAACUGAACUAUCACGUAGUUAUCUAAACGUGUAUGUCCGAUGUUUGUAACAUCCACAAACGACGUUCGGGAUUCAGCACACUGAGCGGUGCAUUAAGGACAUAAGCUUUCUACUAUCCGCAUAAUUGCUACUGUCAACUUUCAACUAUAUUUUCUCUAGGAACAUAUCUAAACAGUGGAACUAAAGCGCGAGCUUACGACAUAAUUUGCAAAGAUCUUUUUGACUAUGUUCAGGAUAAUUAAGUUCAUCUUAUGAACUCCCACUCAGAUAGACAUCCCUCUAGUCAUCUAAGUGAUUACAUGAUCCGAGUCAACUAGGCCGUGUCCGAUCAUCACGUGAGACGGACUAGUCAACAUCGGUGAACAUCUUCAUGUUGAUCGUAUCUACCAUACGACUCAUGCUCGACCUUUCGGUCUCUUGUGUUCCGAGGCCAUGUCUGUACAUGCUAGGCUCGUCAAGUCAACCUAAGUGUUUCGCGUGUGUAAAUCUGUAUUACACCCGUUGUAUGUGAACGUUAGAAUCUAUUACACCCGACCAUCACGUGGUGCUUCGAAACAACAAACUGUCGCAACGGUGCACAGUUAGGGGGAACACUUUCUUGAAAUUAUUAUGAGGGAUCAUAUUAUUUACUACUGUCUUUCUUAGUAAACAAGAUGCAAAAACAUGAUAAACAUCACAUGCAAUCAAAUAAUAGUGACAUGAUAUGGCCAAUAUCAUAUAGCUCCUUUGAUCUCCAUCUUGGGGCUCCAUGAUCAUCUUGUCAUCGGCAUGACACCAUGAUCUCCAUCAUCAUGAUCUCCAUCAUCGUGUCUCCAUGAAGUUGCUCGCCAACUAUUACUUCUACUACUAUGGCUACCGGUUAGCAAUAAAGUAAAGUAAUUACAUGGCGUUGUUCAAUGACACGCAGGUCAUACAAUUAAUAAAGACAACUCCUAUGGCUCCUGCCGGUUGUCAUACUCAUCGACAUGCAAGUCGUGAUUCCUAUUACAAGAACAUGAUCAAUCUCAUACAUCACAUAUCAUUCAUCACAUUCUUCUUGGCCAUAUCACAUCACAUAGCAUACCCUGCAAAAACAAGUUAGACGUCCUCUAAUUGUUGUUUGCAUGUUUUACGUGGCUACUAUGGGUUUCUAGCAAGAACGUUUCUUACCUACGCAAAAACCACAACGUGAUAUGCCAAUUGCUAUUUACCCUUCAUAAGGACCCUUUUCAUCGAAUCUGAUCGACUAAAGUGGGAGAUACAUACACCCGCUAGCCACCUUAUGCAACUAGUCCAUGUCAGUCGGUGGAACCAGUCUCACGUAAGAGUACGUGUAAGGUCGGUCCGGGCCGCUUCAUCCCACAAUGCCGCCGUAUCAAGAUUGGACUAGUAACGGUAAGCAUAUUAAACAAAAUCAAUGCCCACAACUACUUUGUGUUCUACUCGUGCAUAGAAUCUAUGCAAUAGACCUAGCUCAUGAUGCCACUAUAGGGGAACGCAGCAGAAAUUCAAAAUUUUCCUACAUGUCACCAAGAUCUAUCUAUGGAGAAACCAGCAACGAGGGGAAGGAGAGUGCAUCUACAUACCCUUGUAGAUCGCUAUGCGGAAGCGUUCAAGAGAACGGGUUGAAGGAGUCGUACUCGUCGUGAUCCAAAUCACCGGAGAUCCUAGUGCUGAACGGACGGCACCUCCGCGUUCAACACACGUACAGCCCGGUGACGUCUCCCAUGCCUUGAUCCAGCAAGGAGAGAGGGAGAGGUUGAGGAAGACUCCAUCCAGCAGCAGCACAACAGCGUGGUGGUGGUGGUGGAGGAGCGUGGUACUCCAGCAGGGCUUCGCCAAGCAUCGCAAGAGACGAGGAGGAAGAGGGGUAGGGCUGCACCAACAGGGGAAGAAUUCAUGUGUGAUGGGCAGCCCAAACCUCAAGUAUAUAUAGGGGAAGGGAAGGGGCUGUGCCCCACCUAGGGUUUCCACCCCUAGGGGUGGCGGCCAGCCUAGAUCCCAUCUAAGGGGGCGGCCAAGGGGGGAGAGAGGGGGCACACCACUAGAUGGGCCUUAGGCCCAACUGAGCCUAGGGUUUGCCCCCUUCCACUCUCCCUUGCGCCUUGGGCCUUGGUGGGGGGCGCACCAGCCCACCUGGGGCUGGUCCCCUCCCACAGUUGGCCCAUGAACCCUCCGGGGCUGGUGGCCCCACUUGGUGGACCCCCGGGACCCUCCCGGUGGUCUCGGUACGUUACCGAUAAACCCCGAAACUUUUCCGGCGACCAAAACUGGACUUCCCAUAUAUAAAUCUUUACCUCCGGACCAUUCCGGAACUCCUCGUGACGUCCGGGAUCUCAUCCGGGACUCCGAACAACAUUCGGUAACCACGUAUAUCUAUUCCUUAUAACCCUAGCGUCAUCGAACCUUAAGUGUGUAGACCCUACGGGUUCGGGAACCAUGCAGACAUGACCGAGACAUUCUCCGGUCAAUAACCAACAGCGGGAUCUGGAUACCCAUGUUGGUUCCCACAUGUUCCACGAUGAUCUCAUCGGAUGAACCACGACGUCGAGGAUUUGAUCAAUCCCGUAUUCAAUUCCCUUUGUCUAGCGGUAUUGUACUUGCCCGAGAUUUGAUCGUCGGUAUCCCGAUACCUUGUUCAAUCUCGUUACUGGCAAGUCUCUUUACUCGUUCCAUAACACAUCAUCCCAUGAUCAACUCCUUGGUCACUUUGUGCACAUUAUGAUGAUGUCCUACCGAGUGGGCCCAGAGAUACCUCUCCAUUUACACGGAGUGACAAAUCCCAGUCUCGAUUCGUGCCAACCCAACAGACACUUUCGAAGAUACCUGUAGUGUACCUUUAUAGCCACCCAGUUACGUUGUGACGUUUGGCACACCCAAAGUAUUCCUACGGUAUCCGGGAGUUGCACAAUCUCAUGGUCUAAGGAAAUGAUACUUGACAUUAGAAAAGCUUUAGCAUACGAACUACACGAUCUUUGUGCUAGGCUUAGGAUUGGGUCAUGUCCAUCACAUCAUUCUCCUAAUGAUGUGAUCCCGUUAUCAACGACAUCCAAUGUCCAUGGUCAGGAAACCGUAACCAUCUAUUGAUCAAUGAGCUAGUCAACUAGAGGCUUACUAGGGACAUGGUGUUGUCUAUGUAUCCACACAUGUAUCUGAGUUUCCUAUCAAUACAAUUAUAGCAUGGAUAAUAAACGAUUAUCAUGAACAAGGAAAUAUAAUAAUAACCACUUUAUUAUUGCCUCUAGGGCAUAUUUCCAACACUUCUUCCUCCCAUAUACCCUAAAAUGAUCGGGAAGCACAAUAGAUCGGGAGUUCCGCCGCCAGAAGCCUCUGUAGCCAACGAAAACAAAUCUAGACCCGUUCCGGCACCCUGCCGGAGGGGGAAUCCUUCUCCGGUGGCCAUCUUCAUCAUCCCGGUGCUCUCCAUGAUGAAGAGGGAGUAGUUCUCCCUCGGGGAUGAGGGUAUGUACCAGUAGCUAUGUGUUUGAUCUCUCUCUCUCUCGUGUUCUUGAGGUGAUACGAUCUUGAUGUAUCGCGAGCUUUGCUAUUAUAGUUGGAUCUUAUGAUGUUUCUCCCCCUCUACGUACUCUCUUGUAAUGGAUUGAGUUUUCCCUUUGAAGUUAUCUUAUCGGAUUGAGUCUUUAAUGAUUUGAGAACACUUGAUGUAUGUCUUGCCAUGCGUAUCUGUGGUGACAAUGGGAUAUCACGUGAUUCACUUGACCGGUGACCAACUUGCGGGUUCCGCCCAUGAACUUAUGCAUAGGGGUUGGCACACGUUUUCGUCUUGAUUCUUCGGUAGAAACUUUGGGGCACUCUUUGAGGUCCUAUGUGUUGGUUGAAUAGACGAAUCUGAGAUUUUGUGAUGCAUAUCGUAUAAUCAUACCCACGGAUACUUGAGGUGACAUUGGAGUAUCUAGGUGACAUUAGGGUUUUGAUUGAUUUGUGUCUUAAGGUGUUAUUCUAGUACGAACUCUAGGGCUGUUUGUGACACUUAUAGGAAUAGCCCAACGGAUUGAUUGGAAAGAAUAACUUUGAGGUGGUUUCGUACCCUACCAUAAUCUCUUCGUCCGUUCUCUACUAUUAGUGACUUUGGAGUGACUCUUUGUUGCAUGUUGAGGGAUAGUUAUAUGAUCCAAUUAUGUUAUUAUUGUUGAGAGAACUUGCACUAGUGAAAGUAUGAACCCUAGGCCUUGUUUCCUAGCAUUGCAAUACUAUUUACACUCACUUUUACCAUUAGUUACCUUGCUGUUUUUAUAUUUUCAUAUUACAAAAACUAUUAUCUACUAUCCAAAUACCACUUGUAUCACCAUCUCUUCGCCGAACUAGUGCACCUAUACAAUUUACCAUUGUAUUGGGUGUGUUGGGGACACAAGAGACUCUUUGUUAUUUGGUUGCAGGGUUGCUUGAGAGAGACCAUCUUCAUCCUACGUCUCCUACGGAUUGAUAAACCUUAGGUCAUCCACUUGAGGGAAAUUUGCUACUGUCCUACAAACCUCUGCACUUGGAGGCCCAACAACGUCUACAAGAAGAAGGUUGUGUAGUAGACAUCAAGCUCUUUUCUGGCACCGUUGCCGGGGAGGUUAGCGCUUGAAGGUAUAUCUUUAGAUCUUGCAAUCGAAUCUUUUUGUUUCUUGUUUUAUCACUAGUUUAGCCUAUAAAAGAAAACUAUAAAAAAUGGAAUUAAGUUUGCCUCAUACGCUUCAUCUUUUUAAUAUCUUUCGUGAGUAUGAUGGAUAGGAAAAUCGUGCCAAAGUGUUAGAAGAAGAAUGCAUUAAAAUGUUUGGCACUAAAUAUUUGAAUGAUGAGCAUGAUUGCAAUGUUGUUAGUACGAAUUCUUUGAAUAUCCAUCAUACUAAUGAUGAUUGCACUAGUUAUGAUGAAAAUGUCUCCUAUAAACAUGUCAAUUUUUGUGGAGUGCAUUGGGUUUGUAAGUACACACCAAAUAGGGAAGAUAAAUAUUGCAAGAGGCAUAAGUACUUAUAAACUAAAUUGUUGCAAGAAAUACUAGAUGAUUGUGCUGAAAAUUAAAAUUUUCUUGGCCGUACUUGUGGACUUUGCAAUGAACAGGGUCAUUUAGCUAUCCGAUGCAAAUUGUUCCAUGAUCUAAUCGUGUCCAAAAAUUGUGAUGACUUGAUUUCCCUUGCACAUUAUAAUGAACUUAGUUUGCUUAUGGGUCAUGAAGAAAUGAAAUGUUUAACUAAUCAUCUUCCAGAAUUUGCCCGUUAUAAACUUCUUGGCUUUGAUUUAGAGGAAAUUUAUAUGUAUUGUGCGGUGAAUUGUAUUGAAAAUCUUUAUAUUGCCAACUACGUAAAGAAAAGAAAACAAACAGAAGAUGAAGAGAAUACUAAUGAAAGGGAAGAGACUUCCCAAUACCCUCCUAUUAUUUCUUAUGAUGAAUCAGGUAACAAGGAGGAGCCUCCUAUUCAACCAAUCUCAUUAAUAAGGAGCUCCAAAAAGAGGAUUGGACCCACACAUGAUGUGGUGAAGAAGAAGAAAAGAAAAAAGAAGAGAGGUAAAAAGAUAUCUCUCCCAAAUAAUGCUGCUCCUAUUACUAUUGUGCCUCAUGAAAAUAUAAUUGUGGAAGAUAAUGAUACUUCUUAUGAUCUUGAAAAUAUUUUUGGCACUUGCUUGGAAGAAUAUGAUAAUUGCUAUACUAUUGGUGCUAUCCAUACUAUUAAUGAUGAGAGUGAUUAUGCUUAUGAUAUGAAAAGGCCCAAGCUUGGGGAGGCUAUGUUUGAUGAAUAUGAUGUUUUUGAGAAUAUAUUUGCUGCAAUUAAUGUUUGUCCUAAGCUUGGCGAUGCUACAUUUAAUGAAGAUGGUAUUUUUAGUCUCCCAAGUUUUGAUAUGCAAAUUUAUAAUGAUGAUAGCAUGCCUCCUACUUAUGAUGAUUAUUGUUAUGAUACUUAUGCUAUAAAAAUUAGUGAUUAUAUUUAUGAAACUUGUCAUGAUUAUGGUUACCCUUUUUCUGAACAUUACUCUUUUAAUGUGGAAACAAUUUAUAGUAUUCAAGUUUCUUAUGAUACUCCCACUAUUCCGAAUGAGAAGAAUUUUGCUUAUGUGGAGAGUAAUAAAAUUUCUAUGCUUGUAGAUCAUGAAAAGAAUGCUUUAGGUGCUGGUUAUAUUGUUGAAUUCAUUCAUGAUGCUACUGAAAAUUAUUAUGAGGGAGGAAUACAUGCUUGUAGGAAUUGCAAUAAUAUCAAGUUUCCUCUCUAUGUGCUUAAAAUUUUGAAGUUAUGCUUGUUCUACCUCCCUAUGCAAGUUGAUUCUUGUUCCCACAAAUUGUUUGCUCACAAAAUCCCUAUGCAUAGGAAGUGGGUUAGACUUAAAUGUGCUAGUUAUAUUCUUCAUGAUACUCUCUUUAUGUUUCAAUUCUUAUCUUUUAUGUGAGCAUCGUUGAAAUCAUCAUGCCUAGCUAGGGGCGUUAAACGAUAGCGCUUGUUGGGAGGCAACCCAAUUUUAUUUUAGUUCCUUGCUUUUUGUUCCUGUUUAGUAGUAAAUAAUUCAUCUAGCCUCUGUUUAGAUGUGGUUUUAUGCUUUUAAUUAGUGUUUGUGCCAAGUAGAACCUUUGGGAAGACUUGGGGAAAGUCUUGUUGAUCAUGCUGUAAAAAACAAAAACUUUAGCGCUCACGAGAAUUGCUGCCAUUUUUAUUUGGAGAGCGCUAUUUAGUUAAUUCUUUUUGAAGAUGAUUAACAGAUAAAUUCCUCAGGUCCAGAAAUUUAUUUGAGAAUUUUAUGAGUUCCAGAAGUAUACGUUUUAUCCAUAUUACUACAGACUGUUCUGUUUUUGACAGAUUCUGUUUUUCAUGUGUUGUUUACUUAUUUUGAUGAAUCUAUGGCUAGUAAAAGAGUUUAUAAACAAUAGAGAAUUUGUAAUACAGUAGGUUUAACACCAAUAUAAAUAAAUAAUGAGUUCAUUACAGUACCUUGAAGUGGUGAUUUAUUUUCUUAUACUAACGGAGCUUACGAGUUUCAAUUAAGUUUUGUGUUGUGAAGUUUUCAAGUUUUGGGUAAGGAUUCGAUGGACUAUGGAAUAAGGGGUGGCAAGAGCCUAAUCUUGGGGAUGCCCAAGGCACCCCAAUGUAAUAUUCAAGGAUAUCCAAGAGCCUAAGCUUGGGGAUGCCCCGGAAGGCAUCCCCUCUUUCGUCUUCGUUCAUCGGUAACUUUACUUGGAGCUAUAUUUUUAUUCACCACAUGAUAUGUGUUUUGCUUGGAGCGUCAAUUUAUUUUGUUAUGAUUUGCUUGCUGUUAUUUAGAACAAUGUUUUUCAUCUUUUAUUUCAAUAAAAGUGGCAUUGAUAGCCUUUACUAUGCCUAUUUUAGAAGUCCACAUGUUGCUGUUUGAAAACAGAAAGUUUACCGCUGUUGCAAUAAUUCCCUAGAAAAUUCAGAAUAUGAUAAAAUGUUGAAACCUUUUGCAUAUUAAGAUCUGAUAAAUUUACUACAGUGGGAAUUUUCUUUCAUAAUUUUUGGAGUUAGGGAAGUAUGGAUCUUGCUGCGCUCUUUAUAGACUGUCCUGUUUAGGCAGAUUGCUGUUAUGUUUGCAUUGUUUGCAUAUGUUUGCUUCUUUAAUGAUUCUAUUUGAGGAUAGGACUAUUAAAUAUGCAGAGGCAUUUAGUAUGCAAUGUUGAAUAAUAAUUUUAGUGAUUUUCUACAGUAGAGGAUGAUAAGGUUUUUGCAAUGGUUUAUACUAACUCAUCUCACGAGUCCUUGUUGAGUUUUGUGUGGAUGAAGCUUUUGAGAUUUAGGGAGACCGUGAUAUGAGAGGAAUUAAGGAGACACAAAAGCUCAAGCUUGGGGAUGCCCAAGGCACCCCAAGAUAAUAUUUCAAGAAGUCUCAAGCGUCUAAGCUUGGGGAUGUCCCGGUUGGCAUCCCACCUUUCUUCUUCAACAACUAUCGGUUAGUAUCGGUUGAUCCUAAGUUUUUGCUUCUUCACAUGAUGUUUGCUAUUCUUAGAUGUCAUUUUAUUUUGGUUUGCUUGCUAUUUGAAUAAAGUAUCAAGAUCUGAAAUCCUUAAAUAUUAGAGAGUCUUCAUAUAGUUGCAUGAUUAUUCGACUACUCAUUGAUCUUCACUUAUAUCUUUCGGAGUAGUUUGUUAUUUGCUCUAGUGCUUCACUUAUAUCUUUUUAGAGCACGGUAGUGGUUUUAUUUUAUAGAAAUAGAUGAACUCUCAUGCUUCAGUUAUAUUAUUUUGAGAGUCCUAAACAGCAUGGUAAUUUGCUUUGGUUAUGAAUUUAGUCCUGAUAUGAUGGGCAUCCAAGAGGGAUAUAAUAAAAACUUUCAUAUAUAGUGCACUGAAUACUAUGAGAAGUUUGAUACGUGAUGAUUGUUUUGAGAUAUGAAGAUGGUGAUAUUAGAGUCAUACUAGUUGAGUGGUUAUGAAUUUGAGAAAUACUUGUGUUGAAGUUUGUGAUUCCCGUAGCAUGCACGUAUGGUGAACCGUUAUGUGAUGAAGUCGGAGCAUGAUUUAUUUAUUGAUUGUCUUCCUUAUGAGUGGCGGUCGGGGACGAGCGAUGGUCUUUUCCUACCAAUCUAUCCCCCUAGGAGCAUGCGCGUAGUACUUUGUUUCGAUAACUAAUAGAUUUUUGCAAUAAGUAUGUGAGUUCUUUAUGACUAAUGUUGAGUCCAUGGAUUAUACGCACUCUCACCCUUCCACCAUUGCUAGCCUCUCUAGUACCACCAACUUUCGCCGAUACCAUAAACCCACCAUAUACCUUCCUCAAAACAGCCACCAUACCUACCUAUUAUGGCAUUUCCAUAGCCAUUCUGAGAUAUAUUGCCAUGCAACUUUCCACCGUUCCGUUUUUUAUGACACGCUUCAUCAUUGUUGUCGGUGUCAAAACCGGCGGAUCUCGGGUAGGGGGUCCCGAACUGUGCGUCUAGGCCGGAUGGUAACAGGAGGCAGGGGACACGAUGUUUUACCCAGGUUCAGGCCCUCUUGAUGGAGGUAAAACCCAAUGUCCUGCUUGAUUAAUAUUGAUGAUAUGGGUAGUACAAGACUAGAUCUACCACGAGAUCAGAGAGGCUAAACCCUAGAAGCUAGCCUAUGGUAUGAUUGUAUGUUAUGGUUGUUGUCCUAUGGACUAAAAACCCUUCGGUUUAUAUAGACACCGGAGAGGGUUAGGGUUACACAAGGUCGGUUACAAAGGAGGAGAUAUCCAUAUCCGUAUUGCCUAGCUUGCCUUCCACGCCAAGUAGAGUCCCAUCCGGACACGAGACGAAGUCUUCAAUCUUGUAUCUUCAUAGUCUAAUAGUCCGGCCAAUGGAGAUAGUCCGACUGUCCGGAGACCCCCUAAUCCAGGACUCCCUCAGUAGCCCCUGAACCAGGCUUCAAUGACGAUGAGUCCGACGCGCAGUAUUGUCUUCGGCAUUGCAAGGCGGGUUCCUUCUCCGAAUACAUCAGAAGAAUUUGAAUACGAGGAUAGUGUCCGACCCUGCAAAAUAAGUUCCAGAUUCCACUGUAGAGAGAAUAAUAUUUUCGCAGAUCUAAUUUGCUGGCUUGUUUUGGUAGCACGACGUUAUGUCAUGGCCCGGUGAUUAUUCGAACCGUUUCUUUUAACCAGCCCCGCACAUAACGCGAGGCGGUUUCUUGACACGUCUUGCCAAAGCGGAGAUCGUGUUCCCCCAAUUACGGGAUUCUCAUUAAUGCGGUCGUGGGUAAUCCAACCGUGUCUAGGACUCCUAGAUUAUAGGCAAGUCCUAAACGGCUACGGAGAGGACGCUUGAUAUUCACCCUCGCUAUAAAGGGACAAGGUUUUUGCUUUUUCCCUCUCGUGCUCAAUCGAACCCUUCCCUCACCUCGUGUUCUAACACCCAAAGCCCAGGUUAGGUGCUCCGGAUCUUCAAUCAUGUCCGGAUCCAGCCUUCAAGGCCGAUGGAUGCCCUCCUCCGUUACGGAAGAGGACGUUAAGAAGUUGAGGGAGGCCAGAUACCUGACCGCCGAGGUUUCGCAUCGGCUACCUGCUUGAGGGCAGAUCAUCCCUACUCCCGAACCCAACGAGAACGUCGUGUUCGUCUCCCACUUCCUCCGAGGUCUAGGCCUCACUCUGGAUCCCUUCGUCAGGGGUUUGAUGUUCUAUUACGGGCUAGAUUUCCAUGAUCUAGCUCCGGACUCCUUUCUCCACAUCUCGACAUUUAUUGUCGUGUGCGAGGCCUUCCUCCGCAUUACCCCUCACUUCGGCUUAUGGCUCAAGACCUUUGAAUUGAAGCCAAAGAUGAUCGAGGGGCAACAUGCAGCGUGCGGAGGUGCAUCAAUAGGCAAGAUGGCAGGAGCUCCAUGGCCGAAAGGUUCCUUCCUAGAGGUGCCCGAAUUAUGGCAUCGGGAGUGGUUUUACGUCACAGCUCCCAGAAGUGCCAAGUGGGCGGCUGCCCCUGCUUUCCACUCGGGCCCCCCACCACAACUGAUGUCAUGGAUUAGUAGAGGUCUGAGUUGGGGUCCAGCCAAGGACGUGCCUAUACUGCAAAGCCGCAUCCGAGAUCUCUUCGAGGGAGAUUUUAAUUUGGUUGCGGUAAUACAAGUUAUGCUGGUUCGUCAAGUCUAGCCUUGCAAACGCCGGCCCCUUCGCUUGUGGGAGUUCAACCCAGAGGGACCACGUGCCAUUGAAAGUUUCCUCGGCCUGACGCACGAGGAGAUGUACAAGUCAUUCUUCAUACCUCAAGUAGAAUGUCCGGAUAUUACCGAGGACGUGGGCCUGAGCAGUAACCGCGCCGCCGAACAAGUAAGAAAUCCUCUAGCUGAACACACUGUCUUUUAUUCGAAGUCAUUUCUGAGAGCUCGCUUUUUGACCAGGACUGGCUAACAAAGGCGAAGAUGAUUCGGUGUUUGGCCCCCCUCCCUGAGGGUUUGGAAAAUCCGGUAUUGGAAAAGAUGCUCGAGGUCGCACCUUGCCCGGAGCCCUUGAAGGAAGAUACUGGGGGGAUAAUACGGGCGGACGCGGGCCCCCAUCACUGCCCGUUCCAACCGAGGGAACGAGCGUCUCCACGAAGGAGGACAACCGGGGGAGGAAAAGGACUGCAUCCGAGGAUCCGGAAGCCGAAGCCUCCAAACAGGAGAAGAAGUCUCCCACAGAGGGUCCUGCCUUGGGGGGUGCUUUUGCCGCACAAAGUCCGCGGGGGGAUCAGCCCCCCAACAAGUCAUAAGUGAUCCAAAAUACUUUAAUAGUAAAGGUAUGCUAUCUUUUUUUUCUGAGAGAAUAACCACCGCAUAUAUCUUGCAGUUCGGGCCUUAGCCCCUCUCAGCUGAGCUCGUCUUCGGGGGAUCUUCUUCCAGAGAUGAUGGAGAGCGAAACGCCUCCCUCGGACUCCUCCGCUCAAGAAGCGGGCGACCCCGAAGUGUCGUCACGGAGGGCCUCUCCGGAUCCGGUGAGGCCAGAAGAUAAUCCCAUAAACCCCCGAAGUCCCCAGCGUCCGGCUCCCGAAGAGAGCAGACAAAAGAGUCCGUCACCGUCUAGUGUGCGAUCGGAUGUUCUGAGGGAGUUGGUGCGGUGAGCAGCCAUCUCAGAAGAACACCGUAUACUGAUGAGUACGGUGAUGGAGAGAAUCUCAUCCGCCGAAAGCGGAUUACAUGAAGCUUUUAUGAGUCUACUGAUAGGCUUUGAGGUACGUGAGAUGAUAUGUGAUAGUACUGCACAUGUUAGGUGUGCCCUAUGUAGAUAGUAGCCCCUAAGACUCUGGUUGUCGUCGAGAACGACAACGAACAGAGGAUCAUAUUCCCAGGCAGUAACCAGACUGCUCCUAUGUGCAGGUGGUGGAAGCUCCGGUGGCUAGCCGGACUAGUGAGUUUGUCAAAUUAAAACGACAACUGGAUGCGGUAGACGCCGACAUCGAGCUUGUUAACAAGAGGCUUGAUGAGGCACAGGGUAAGUGUUAUUAUCUGGUGAAUGCCACAUAGUAAGAGCAGCAUGAUGCCAGUAUCUUUAAUAUGUUGUGACUGUAGAUGGAGAUGCCACUAUGGAAGCCUUGCGGGCAGAACUUGCCCAAGCCAAGGAACAAGCAAGGAUUAGUAAUGCGGGUGCUUUGAAGGCGGCCGAAGAGUUGAAAGCCGAGAAGGCCGCACAUUGCGAGAGCCAAGAGAAGAUGGCCGUAGAAUUAAAAGACACUGCCGACCGUUGCCGGGUCCUUGAAAAAGAAAACCGAGCGAAGGCAACGGACCUUGAGAAGGCCACGGCGGCGGACAAAGACACCCGUUCUGCUAUGAGAGCGAAGAAGGAGGAGCUGCGGGAAGCCGGGGAUAUUGCGGCUGGGAAACCCUUCAUGUUGCGGAGGAAGUUCAGAGAUCCACGGUAUGCCCCUCUGGAUCGGUUGUGGAGUUCGGCAGAUGCGUAUAUGGAUUUGGCGGCGAGCGCUGCCGAUGCGGCCAAGUACUUCCAAGGUCAAACAGAUCGUGAAGUGGACAAGUUGUUCUGGUCGCAAUUCCACAUUGCAAAGCGUCCGCUUUCCUUGACUGACCAGCUAGCCGAAUGGGCUGAACUGAAUAGGUUGUCCAGACUCGCCAUGAGGUCUGUUGUGGAUCAGCUAUGGCCGGAAAAGCCAAAGCCGGACAACUAUUUUAGCUUAGUGCAGCAGUUCCUUGGUGCGGUGCCGCGCAUUAAUGCGAUGAAGAGGUCGGCAUGCAUAGAAGGCUCGCGGAUGGCCCUUGCCCGUGUUAAAGCAUACUGGGCGGAGAUGGAUGCUACCACUGUUGCGGCACAGGGUUCGGCCAUAGGUCGAGUGGCUGCCGAGCAUUAUUUCGAGGAGGUUCUCGAGGGUGCUUGUUUGAUAGAGGCCCAGUGCUCGAAAAAUAUUAUGUUUGAGUGAUAUGUAUUCUCAUUGUAAACACAAUGCUUUUAUGAAGUUUUUAUAAGGCUAUGUUUAUACUUUUGCCUAAAAGUAGUAUGAUGCCUCUUGUGCGGCCGUUUAUGUAUACAUGUGUAUAACCUGAAAGAUUGCAGCCGUCGGCUUCAACCCCCAUGCAUAUAAUGAGGAGGUUCUCGCAAAAAACGCGUGUUCACACUUAACCCAACGUCUUGGUCCUAUUAAGGAGGUGAUAGCGUAGCGAACGAGGCAACCGGACUAUAAUGCUUUAACACUUUCACUUAGCCAUAGGAGUUUGACAGUGGGGCUACUAGAUAGUGUUGGGGAACGUAGUAAUUUCAAAAUUUUCCUAUGCACAUGCAAGAUCAUGGUGAUGCAUAGAAACGAGAGGGGAGAGUGUUGUCUACGUACCCUCGUAGACCGGCAACGGAAGUGUUGACACAACAUAGAGGAAGUAGUCGUACGUCUUCCCAAUCCGACCGAUCCAAGUACCGAACAUACGACACCUCCGAGUUCUGCACACGUUCAACUCGGUGACGUCCCUCGAGUUCCGAUCCAGCAAAACAUUGAGGGAGAGUUUCAUCAGCACGAUGGCGUGAUGACGGUGAUGAUGUUCUACCGACGCAGGGCUUCGCCUAAGCACCGCUACAUAUGACCGAGGUGGAAUAUGGUGGAAGGGGGGACCGCACACGGCUAAGGAACGAUCACGAGGAUCAACUUGUGUGUCAUGGGGUGCCCCCUUGCCUCAGUAUAUAAAGGAGGGAGAGGGGGAGGUGCGGCCGGCCCUAUGGGUGCGCCUGGAGGAAUCCUACUCCAACCGGGAGUAGGACUCCCCCCUCUUGCCUUGUUGGAAAAGGAAGGAGGAAGGGAGAAAGAGGAAAGGGGGCGCCGCCCCCCUUCCUUACCCUAUUCAGACUAGGGGGGAGGGGGCGUGCGGCCUGCCCUCCUCUUCUCCCUUAUGGCCCAUGUAGGCCCAAUAACCCCCGGGGGGGUUCCGGUAACCCCCUGGUACUCCGGUAAAAUCCCGAUUUCACCCGAAACGUUUCCGAUAUCCAAAUAUAGGCUUCCAAUAUAUCAAUCUUUAUUUAUCGACCAUUUUGAGACUCCUCGUCAUGUCCAUGAUCACAUCCGGACUCCGAACAACCUUCGGUACAUCAAAACACAAAAACCCUAAUUACGAUCGUCACCGAACUUUAAGCGUGCGGACCCUACGGGUUCGAGAACUAUGUAGACAUGACCGAGACACGUCUCCGGUCAAUAACCAAUAGUGGAACCUGGAUGCUCAUAUUGGCUCCUACAUAUUCUACGAAGAUCUUUAUCGGUCAGACCGCAUAACAACAUACGUUGUUCCCUUUGUCAUCGGUAUGUUACUUGCCCGAGAUUCGAUCGUUGGUAUCUCAAUACCUAGUUCAAUCUCAUUACCGGCAAGUCUCUUUACUCGUUCCGUAAUACAUUAUCCUGCAACUAACUUAUUAGUUGCAAUGCUUGCAAGGCUUGAGUGAUGUGCAUUAUCGAGAGGGACCAGAGAUACCUCUCCGACAAUCGGAGUGACAAAUCCUAAUCUCAAAAUACGCCAACCCAACAAGUACCUUCGGAGACACCUGUAGAGCACCUUUAUAAUCACCCAGUUACGUUGUGACAUUUGGUAGCACACAAAGUGUUCCUCCGAUAAACGGGAGUUGCAUAAUCUCAUAGUCAUAGGAACAUGUAUAAGUUAUGAAGAAAGCAAUAGCAACAAACUAAACGAUCAAGUGCUAAGCUAACGGAAUGGGUCAAGUCAAUCACAUCAUUCUCCUAAUGAUGUGAUCCCGUUAAUCAAUUGACAACUCAUGUCUAUGGUUAGGAAACAUAACCAUCUUUGAUCAACGAGCUAGUCAAGUAGAGGCAUACUAGUGACUCUGUUUUUGUCUAUGUAUUCACACAUGUAUUAUGUUUCCGGUUAAUACAAUUCUAGCAUGAAUAAUAAACAUUUAUCAUGAUAUAAGGAAAUAAAUAAUAACUUUAUUAUUGCCUCUAGGGCAUAUUUCCUUCAGAUAGCCCCUGGUGGCUCUGCACUCUCCCGAUCGCGGGGUGUGUACAUGCCUGGCCGGAAAACGGGCCUUCGUUAAGGCGGAGGAAUUCUAACAUUUCGAUAGGUCAUCGAGUGGUUGACCAGUCUCACGCUAUAUCAUGACAGUCAGUUUUCGGCUUUCUCUACUGAGGUGCUCGUCCGGAUGAACCAGGGCACAAUCGCAGUAGUUCUCCUGGUGCUACCUUAGCCGAUAAAGUGGAACGUAAGGCACCAAAACACAGGAGCCGGGCAAACCCAACAUUUGACCAAAGACAAUGAUUCGGAGUUGAUGCAUAUAAGGCCAAACUCGCGAUGCCGAACACUCCCUAAGGUAUUCGGUCUUUAUGGUAUAAACCGGGCCUAGAUAGUGCCCUUUGUAAGAAGCCCCUUGUAUCCAGGUACGUGCAUUAUUCCGGCGUGGCCACAUGCCAAGACGUCAGCAUCCUUCUCAACUGUGCUGAGAAUUCGGUGGAUAUGUAUCAACAAGAGACAGUAAAAAAGGUUUAUGCAGGGUCUUAAUCUAAAAAGAAUCCUUGGAGCGGGUCCCUGCUGCACGUCUGUGCCUGUGUCUCCGUUGUGCCGUAUCCUGGACGGGUGUAGCAUGGUGAUCAUCUGUAAAAGAGAGGAACUUAGAUGAAAAAGGUGUCGUGCAAAAGGAUAGUUUUUAAAGAAACUAUGUAUAAUUCAAGAUGAGUAAAAACUGCCACUUGUCUGCGCGCAUUGAGACCCUUGUAUUUGUAAUAGGGGUGUGACCAUUGAUCCGGUAUGAAUGACAUAUAGCUGUGCCAGACUCGUCGAACCAUGUCCGAGGUCUUGACGACCUGAUAAAUGCUUUAGUUGGUCAGGUCGUUUUUAGUGUGCGGCUGCCAAGGCAGCCGCACUCUCUUCGGCGCGCAAAGAUUGCUUAAUACUUCCGUUCACUAUAAUGAUGCCACGUGGGCCGGGCAUCUUGAGUGUGAGGGAAGCGUAGUGCGGUAUUGCAUUAAAGCGAACGAAAGCUUCACGUCCGAGUAGUUCUUGAUAGCCACUUUGGAACGGAGCGGUGUGGAAGGUUAAAUGUUCGCUAUGGAAGUUAUCGGGGAAGCCGAAUAUAACCUUUAGUAGCAGGGAGCCCCUGGGCCUGGCGUUACUCCUUUAAAGGUAGUAUUGCUUUGGCAAAUUUUUGUUGGGUCUAUCCCCAUUUCGUGGAUUGUGUCCUGGUAUAUCAGGUUUAGACUGCUGCCAUCGUCCAUCAGGACUCGUGUGAAGUGGUAUCCAUUGAUUAUUGGGUCUAAUACCAGGGCAGCCCAUCCUGCACGCCGGAUACUUGCUGAGUAAUCUCGAUGGUUGAAAGUGAUCGGUUGAGACGACCAGUGGUAGGAUUCAGCGGUGAUAGGCCCUUGGGCAUAUUUUUCUAGGAGUGUCGUUUUGUUUCUUCCUUUGAUCACGUGUAACACGUUUACUGUUUUGAUUUCUGGUGGAAAUUUCUUUUGUUCCCCAGUGUCUUGCUUGAGAGGCUCAUCCUCGUCUUCCUUGGUGUAUCCUCCCCCUUGUGUACGGCGUUGAGCUUGCCGGACUGCUUGAAGACCCAACAUUCUCUGUGGGUAUGAUUAGCGGGUUUACCAGGGGUGCUAUGGAUCUGACAUAUUUGGUCUAGAAUUUUGUUUAGGCUGGACAGUUCAUCUCUGGCGCCUUUAGAGGGCGGCUUUUGCUGACCUGGCCGAGAGCUUUUGAAUCCGGCGUUUACUGUUGUGCUCUUCGUGUUGUCUUCUUUAUUCCGGCGUUUGUUAUUGUUGUUGCGCUGUGAUUUCCCGUUUCCAUCUCUAACUUCAGAUGUACUGGGGUCGCUGGUGCUGCAUCUGGCUAGCCAACUGUCCUCACCCGUGCAAAAGCGGGUCAUGAGGCUUGUUAAUGCUGCCAUUGUUCUUGGCUUUUCUUCGCCGAGGUGUCUGGCAAGCCAUUCAUCACGGACGCUAUGCUUAAAAGCUGCCAAGGCUUCGGCGUCCGGACAGUCGACAAUUUGGUUCUUUUUAGUAAGAAACUUGUUCCAAAUUUUUCGGGCUGACUCUCCGGGCUGUUGAGUUAUAUGACUCAAAUCGUCCGUGUCCGGAGGUCGGACAUAAGUCCCUUGAAAAUUUGCCCAAAAAGCGUCUUCGAGCUCUUCCCAGCUUCCAAUGGAGUUUCUGGGGAGGCUUUUAAACCAAUGGCGAGCUGGCCCUUUGAGCUUGAGGGGUAAGUACUUGAUGGCGUGGAGAUCAUCUCCUCGGUCCAUAUGGAUAUGGAGGAUAUAGUCCUCAAUCCAGACCCCGGGGUCUGUUGUUCCGUCGUAUGCCUCUAUGUUUACGGGUUUGAAUCCCUCUGGAAAUUCAUGGUCCAGCACCUCGUUGGUGAAACAUAGGGGGUGUGCGGCACCCCUGUAUCUGGGUGUACCACGUUGCUCGGAUGUCUGUUGUGUUACAUCGUAUGCUGGGGCGCACUUGUGUGAUCCAUAGAUGGAUCUGGUUGCGCCGUCCUUUUGGUGCGAGCCCUCGCGUGUAUCGCGUAUUGGCUUGUGCGUGGCGCUGUUUGCCGCUCAAUGUUGGCCGUGAGGUCAUCUAUCCGGCCAAGUGGCUGUUUUGAUUUUUGGUUGUGGGGGGUCUGAGGCCUCCUCAUCGAAUUUAGGUAGCAACUUCCGCUUUGGCUAGCUCUUGGUGGGGCGAUUGUUGCCGUACUUCGCUGCUGUGUUGAGUACUUUACUCCAUCUGAUUUGGAGUGUGUCCUGCGCAGCCUUGAGCCUUUGCUUCUGCUUUUCAGACUCCUCGCGGUGGCAACAAGCCUUUAACGGGCAUUAUGCUGCUCCGGGUGCCUGUCCGACGUUAUAUCAUCCGGACUAUUAUCUUUGACAGAAAUAGUUUGUUCAGUUUGAUUCUCCGUAUUGCCGUAGUCCGGCAGUGGUUCGCCCUGCUCCAACGCUGGGUUUGUAUGAUCGCUAUUUCUGCCGAGGCGGGAUUUCGGGCGGCGCUUGCGCCGCCGCUUUGACUGCUUCUCGAGGGGAACAAGCCUUCAGUGCGUCUUUCCGUUCCUCGUCGUCGUCUUCUUUUGUUGUGUCCACCAUGUAUACGUCAUAUGAUGAGGUGGACGUCCAGCGCCCUGUGGGCGGUGGUUCCUCUUUGCCUCCCGCAUCGUCGUCCAUACCGUCGAUGUCUUCGGAGUCAAGGUCGAGCAUGUCGGUUGAUUCAUCGACAGUGGCUAUUAAGUGGGUGGUGGGUGGGCGUCGAAUUUCUUCAUCGCCCGCAUCCCAACCCUGUUGGCCAUAAUCCGGCCAGCGCUCUCCUGACAAAGAGAGAGACCUUAGUGAAUUCAGAAUGUCGCCGAAGGGUGAGUGCUGAAAGAUAUCCGCUGUGGUGAAUUCCAUGGUCGGCGCCCAAUCGGAUUCGAUUGGCAGGGGCGCGGAUGGUUCGGAGUCCGGAAAAGAGUCCGACACAUUGGAGUCACGGGCUGCGCAGAGGUUUAGGCUGGUGUUCGGCUCGAUCGCCGUUGAGACUGCAGCCCCUGAGGUGGUGUCUAACCACCCGUCCUUGAUUGGCGCAGUUGGCUCCGAACUAAGGGUCGGAGCUGAUGCGGGCACGGCCUCUGGGGUACUGUUCGGCGGCAGAGCUAGGUCAUACCCAUCGCGACAGUGCGGCGCGCCCGGCUAUGGCUCGAAUUCGUCGAAGAUCAAGUCUCUGCGGACGUCGGCUGUGUAGUUCAAACUUCCAAAUCUGACCUGAUGUCCAGGGGUGUAGCUUUCAAUCUGCUCCGGAUGGCCAAGCGAAUUAGCCCGCACUGCAAAGCCGCCGAACACGAAGAUCUGUCCGGGGAGAAAAGUCUCACCCUGGACCGCAUCGCUAUCGAUGAUAGUAGGAGCCAUCAAGCCUAACGGCGACGACACAGAGGAACUCUCAAUGAAAGCAUCAAUGUCGGUGUCAAAACCGGUGGAUCUCGGGUAGGGGGUCCCGAACUGUGCGUCUAGGCCGGAUGGUAACAGGAGGCAGGGGACAUGAUGUUUUACCCAGGUUCGGGCCCUCUUGAUGGAGGUAAAACCCUACGUCCUGCUUGAUUAAUAUUGAUGAUAUGGGUAGUACAAGAGUAGAUCUACCACGAGAUCAGAGAGGCUAAACCCUAGAAGCUAGCCUAUGGUAUGAUUGUAUGUUAUGGUUGUUGUCCUACGGACUAAAACCCUUCGGUUUAUAUAGACACCGAAGAGGGUUAGGGUUACACAAGGUCGGUUACAAAGGAGGAGAUAUCCAUAUCCAUAUUGCCUAGCUUGCCUUCCACGCCAAGUAGAGUCCCAUCCGGACACGAGACGAAGUCUUCAAUCUUGUAUCUUCAUAGUCUAACAGUCCGGCCAAUGGAGAUAGUCCGGCUGUCCGGAGACCCCCUAAUCUAGGACUCCCUCAAUUGUCAUAUUGCUAUGCAUGAUCAUGUAGUUGACAUUGUAUUUGUGGCAAAGCCACCGUUCAUAAUUCUUUCAUACAUGUCACUGAUGAGUCAUUGCACAUCCCGGUACACCGCCGGAGGCAUUCUUAUAGAGUCAUAUUUUGUCCUAAGUAUCGAGUUGUAAUUCUUGAGUUGUAAGUAAAUAAAACUGUGAUAAUCAUCAUUAUUAGAGCAUUGUCCCAGUGAGGAAAGGAUGAUGGAGACCACGAUUCCCCCACAAGUCGGGAUGAGACUCCGGACGAAAAUAAAUAAAUAAAAGAGGCCAAAGAAGCCCAAAUAAAAAAAGGAGAAAAAAAAGA
rnacentral:lncRNA from 1 species